CCUACGGGUGGCAGCAGUGAGGAAUAUUGGUCAAUGGCCGAGAGGCUGAACCAGCCAAGUCGCGUGAGGGAAGACGGCCCUACGGGUUGUAAACCUCUUUUGUCGGGGAGCAAAGCGAACCACGUGUGGUUCAUUGAGAGUACCCGAAGAAAAAGCAUCGGCUAACUCCGUGCCAGCAGCCGCGGUAAUACGGAGGAUGCGAGCGUUAUCCGGAUUUAUUGGGUUUAAAGGGUGCGUAGGUGGUUAAUUAAGUCAGCGGUGAAAGUUUGUGGCUCAACCAUAAAAUUGCCGUUGAAACUGGUUGACUUGAGUAUAUUUGAGGUAGGCGGAAUGCGUGGUGUAGCGGUGAAAUGCAUAGAUAUCACGCAGAACUCCGAUUGCGAAGGCAGCUUACUAAACUAUAACUGACACUGAAGCACGAAAGCGUGGGGAUCAAACAGGAUUAGAUACCCGGGUAGUC
rnacentral:rRNA from 1 species